AACGAACGCUGGCGGCAUGCCUAACACAUGCAAGUCGAACGAGACCUUCGGGUCUAGUGGCGCACGGGUGCGUAACGCGUGGGAACCUGCCCUUAGGUUCGGAAUAACUCCCCGAAAGGGGUGCUAAUACCGGAUAAUGUCUUCGGACCAAAGAUUUAUCGCCUUUGGAUGGGCCCGCGUUGGAUUAGCUAGUUGGUAGGGUAAACGCCUACCAAGGCGACGAUCCAUAGCUGGUCUGAGAGGAUGAUCAGCCACACUGGGACUGAGACACGGCCCAGACUCCUACGGGAGGCAGCAGUGGGGAAUAUUGGACAAUGGGCGAAAGCCUGAGCCAGCAAUGCCGCGUGAGUGAUGAAGGCCUUAGGGUUGUAAAGCUCUUUUACCCGGGAUGAUAAUGACAGUACCGGGAGAAUAAGCUCCGGCGAACUCCGU
rnacentral:rRNA from 1 species